CCACCUAUUCUUGGCAUGUUAAGUAUUGAAUGGUAACUUACCAUGUAUGUGAUGGUGGUAUAUAAAAUGUGGACUGUCUUCGGUGCUGAAGUUCUGCAUACUUCAGAUCCCUCUAUGUUCACAACAGUC
rnacentral:snoRNA from 1 species